rnacentral:tRNA from 1 species
GGGAGCAUAGCUCAGCUGGGAGAGCAUCUGCCUUACAAGCAGGGGGUCACAGGUUCAAGUCCUGUUGUUCCCACCA